CCCAUCUCGGUGUUGGAAAGCAACGACCUCAGGACGACAAGCCAUCCUGCUCCCAAGGUUCCAGAUCACUUAACAGGACAAAACGUUAUUGGCUUUUGUAUUCCUGGGUCUUCAUCGAGUGAGCAUCAUCAACUCCUUACAUCAAGUGGAUGGCUUUGUGCAUCUAAGUGGCUCCCGAACAGGACUGCGUUCUAAGAAGAUACACUGGUAACUCCUACGCAUACUGAAGACGGAGAUACACAACGCAAGCAGUCUGAGCAUGCGUCAGAAGCACCUGGGCCUCACCCCUGC